rnacentral:rRNA from 1 species
UACGGAGGGUGCAAGCGUUGUCCGGAAUCAUUGGGCGUAAAGAGCGUGUAGGCGGCUCGUUAAGUCUGCUGUGAAAGUCCAGGGCUCAACCCUGGAAGGCCGGUGGAAACUGUCGGGCUAGAGUCCGGAAGAGGCGAGUGGAAUUCCCGGUGUAGCGGUGAAAUGCGCAGAUAUCGGGAGGAACACCAAUGGCGAAGGCAGCUCGCUGGGACGGUACUGACGCUGAGACGCGAAAGCGUGGGGAGCAAACAGG